GCAGCAGGCCGUUCCAUCGCUCCUGUUUACAGGGGAGGAAAGUCCGGACAACACAGAGCACCGUGCUUCCUAACGGGAAGAUAUCCGUAAGGGUAUGGUAAUGUAACAGAAAACAACCGUCUGCCGGCUAAAAAGAAUGGACGUGUCCAUUUUUGUUCGCUUCGGUGAACUAAGGCAGAUAAGGGUGAAAAGGUGGGGUAAGAGCCCACCGGUUCGGGUGGCGACAUCCGGAGCCGUACAUCCUGCGGGUUGCAAGGUCAUGUAUACCGGCAAUAGGAUUGCUCGUCCGUGUCGGGGGGUAGACCGCCAGAGGUUGCAGGCAACUGCAAUCCCAGACAAAUGAUGGAAGCCGGCCGAAAGGCCGGAACAGAAUCCGGCUUACAGGCCUGCUAUUUUU
rnacentral:RNase_P_RNA from 1 species